rnacentral:rRNA from 1 species
CAGGCUCGAACGGCAUUGGACAUCCUGCGAAAGCAGGCUCCCGCAAGGGCCGAUGUCGAGGUGCUGCAUGGCUGUCGUCAGCUCGUGUCGUGAGAUGUUGGGUUAAGUCCCGCAACGAGCGCAACCCUUGUCCGCUGUUGCCAUCACGUUAUGGUGGGCACUCUGCGGAGACUGCCGGUGAUAAACCGGAGGAAGGUGGGAUGACGUCAAGUCAGCAGUGGU